CAGGUGGGCCGAUGGUGCAUUUAAUGAAAUGGCCGACACAGGUCCUGGGUCAUUGAGUGAAUGUCGGAAGCAGAGCGUGGACAGCAGGGGCUCUGUGCUGCGUUUCAGGGCUGAUUUGCUGGCCAGUGGAGUGUACCUGUAAGAGGCUCAGAGGACGAUAUCAGGAUGGAGUCUUGCUCUGUCGCCCAGGCUGGAGUGCAGUGCUGACCAGACAGGGAUGUUGUUCGUAGGAGAUGCUGUUCUCCAGGUUAAUGGCAUACAUGUAGAAAAUGCAACUCAUGAAGAAGUGGUGCAUCUUCUGAGAAAUGCUGGCGAUGAAGUUACCAUCACCGUUGAGUAUCUCAGGGAAGCGCCGGCAUUUCUGAAGCUCCCGUUAGGGUCCCCAGGGCCAUCCAGCGACCACAGCAGUGGGGCCUCCUCUCCCCUCUUUGACAGUGGUUUGCAUCUGAACGGAAACUCCAGUACCACAGCUCCAUCGUCACCUUCCUCGCCCAUAGCUAAGGACCCAAGGUAUGAGAAGCGCUGGCUGGACACCUUGUCCGUGCCUCUGUCCAUGGCUCGCAUCUCAAGGUACAAAGCCGGAACGGAAAAAUUAAG
rnacentral:sRNA from 1 species